AGAACGAACGCUGGCGGCAGGCCUCAAACAUGCAAGUCUAGGGGGUGUAGCAAUACAUCACCGGCGGACGGGUGCGUAACACGUGGGAAUGUACCUACUGGUUCGGAACAACGCAGGGAAACUUGCGCUAAUACCGAAUAAGCCCGAAAGGGGAAAGAUUUAUCGCCAGUAGAUCAGCCCGCGUAGGAUUAGCUAGUUGGUGGGGUAAUGGCCCACCAAGGCUCCGAUCCUUAGCUGUUCUGAGAGGAAGAUCAGCCACACUGGGACUGAGACACGGCCCAGACUCCUACGGGAGGCAGCAGUUGGGAAUCUUGGACAAUGGGGAAACCCUGAUCCAGCCAUGCCGCGUGAGUGAUGAAGGCCUUCGGGUUGUAAAACUCUUUCGACGGGGACGAUAAUGACGGUACCCGUAGAAGAAGCUCCGGCUAACUUCGUGCCAGCAGCCGC
rnacentral:rRNA from 1 species